rnacentral:tRNA from 1 species
GGUUAUGGCUCAGCGGUAGAGUGCUCACCUAGCACGAGCGAGGUGCUGGGUUCGAUCCUCAGCACCA